GGAUACAUGUAUUGUUUAUCCUUUAAUAAUGUCGCGUUUUUCUCAGAAAUGCGAGUUACUCAAUUUUGGGAUCGAGUAUGCAGACAAAGAAACAGAUUGUUUUGCUAAACUUGGUUUGAACCGAUUAAUUACAAUUUCAUGGGAAGGCUCAGUUUCCUUGAUGGAUGAUUUAGGAACAACCUUGAGCAAUAAAGUAGGGCGAUACAAAAGUUGGGUCAGCAAUAUAAUCAUCUUUUCGAGUAUCACAGGCAAUGAAGAAACAUUUUGUGAUCAACUUUUGGCUCUUGGAUGGUGCGCCAUCCAGUUGCUUUUUACCUCUUAUUAUUCCGGGUUGGUGGCUUUUGAUAUUGAGAUUGAAAGACUUGAUAAGUUGAAAAUUGAUGCACCGUUAGUAUCACAAAAGAAUAGAUGGAAUAGAGAUAAACCAAAAGAAUAGAUGGAAUAGAGAUAAACCUAAAGCUAAUACGGUUCCUGUCAUGCAUGAUGUCACACCUGCAAAUGCACCUUCACCGAUCGUACCUGAUGCGCCUUCACCGACCGUACCUGAUGCGCCUUCACCGACCGUACCGGAUGCACCUUCACUGACUGUACCUGAUGCACAGAGCUCAGCAGAAAGCUUCGAUAACAUCAUUGUUAGCACAGAGCUCUAGGAGUUAAAUGGCGACGGAUCAGUGUCGUGGAUUGAGCCAUCCGACAUGUCAGAUGAAGUCGUCAGCAGGAUCGACUGUGAUGGAGCAUUAUAUGGGAAGCUAAUUAACGAAUACAUCUUUAGAAGGUAAAGGACGUGUCGCUGGCUGGAUAUAGUUGUGUUGCUGGCUGGAUAUAGUUGUGUUGCCCGAAUACUUUAGUUGGCCCUGAAGUGAAAUGAUGUUUCUUUCAGACAAGCUGCUUGCCUAUUAAUCCUGCGAUUGUAUUGAAACAAUUCGUCAUGUUGUUAAAGGACUCGCAGUGAAAAGAGUUGUAGGUAAAUGCUCCAGAAGAUCAAGAAGGAUGAAAGCAAUUAUUAAAAACAUCAUUUCACUUCAGGGCCAAUUAAAGUAUUCACGGAUGUUCCACAGGUGCAAAUGAUAUCGAUUAAUAGACAAGCUAACCAGAUGGCUCAUUUCACUACUAAGCCAAACGAUGAGGUUUCUUUCAGACAAGCUGAUUUUGACAAAGAGGGCGAUCAGCUACCAGAGAAGCUGCAAAUAGCCAAGGAAUAUCUUGUAUAUGAUGCAAACAGAACCAAAUACUUCCCAGGAGGAGGCUUAUUUCCUGGAGGCUUAGCUUCUACCCAGAUGGAGGCCUAGCUUCAUGAAUUGUUAAUGCCUGUUUUAUUCAUGGAAUGAGGUGAGGUGCUUGUACUUGAACAGUAUUUGUAUUUCAAACAGUAAGAUAUGGCUCUUUAAUUCUGUGUAGGCCAUAGGGAACCCUGAGACACACAGGUAGAAAUUAUUUCCAGGACUUUCUUUUGAGUAUGCUCAGUAAUAUUUUGGUUUAAUGCCCAGAUUUGGUUUUCU